CCUACGGGUGGCAGCAGUGGGGAAUAUUGCACAAUGGGCGCAAGCCUGAUGCAGCAACGCCGCGUGAGGGAUGACGGCCUUCGGGUUGUAAACCUCUUUUAGUAGGGAAGAAGGGCUUCGGCUUGACGGUACCUGCAGAAAAAGCACCGGCUAACUACGUGCCAGCAGCCGCGGUAAUACGUAGGGUGCGAGCGUUGUCCGGAAUUAUUGGGCGUAAAGAGCUCGUAGGCGGUUUGUCACGUCUGCUGUGAAAUCCCGAGGCUCAACCUCGGGCCUGCAGUGGGUACGGGCAGACUGGAGUGCGGUAGGGGAGAAUGGAAUUCCUGGUGUAGCGGUGGAAUGCGCAGAUAUCAGGAGGAACACCGAUGGCGAAGGCAGUUCUCUGGGCCGUAACUGACGCUGAGGAGCGAAAGCGUGGGGAGCGAACAGGAUUAGAUACCCUGGUAGUC
rnacentral:misc_RNA from 1 species